rnacentral:rRNA from 1 species
GACAGAGGGUGCAAACGUUGCUCGGAAUUACUGGGCGUAAAGCGCGUGUAGGCGGGCCGGAAAGUCGGGCGUGAAAUCCCUGGGCUCAACCCAGGAACUGCACUCGAAACUUCCGGUCUAGAGUGGUGGAGAGGGAAGUGGAAUUCCUGGUGUAGAGGUGAAAUUCGUAGAUAUUCGGAAGAACACCAGUGGCGAAGGCGACUUACUGGACGACUGUUGACGCUGAGGUGCGAAAGCGUGGGGAGCAAACAGG